UCUGGCAAGAAGGCCACAGAACCUCACCCGGGGGUAUUUAAAUAAAUUACCUGGCCUUUUGUUGCCUCUCUUUGCCUGCUUAUUCUGGCUAGAACUUAUCUUACAUAUGGUGCCGAAACCCAGGGGGAGUGUGAGCAUGGGGCCCUGACCGGUCACUGGUGGCCCUGCCCCCUCCUUCCCCCACCCGGGACCUCAGCCUGCUCUCUGCUGCGUAGAUUAUUUUCCGAUCCGCCAGAACCUCAGUCGCCCGCCUCCCUCAGCUCGCAAUCCCCUCCCCCUCUCUCCACCACCAUCUCUAAGUCCUGUGUUUUCCCACGUGUCGUCUCCAUCGUAAAGUCCUGCAUUCUCAACCAUGCUGUUGUCCUGCUCUCCUCUUCUGGUGGCUGCACCACUCCCUCCCCCUCUCCUUCCACCUUCAACGCCCUCUUUCCCCACCAGAACAUACCCCUCCCACCCUCUAGUUCCAGAAGCCACAGACAAGAAGCUAAGAAGAAAGAAGGCAAUUGAAUAUUAGAAACUCAAAUCUUUAUAUCAGUUUGUCUGUGUAUAUGUUUUUAUAUGAAAAGUGUUGCUGACUGUAAUUGUUGUAUCUCAGUUUGUACGUUUGUGUGUCUAGGUGUAUAAAUGAAAAAUAUUUUAUUUAAAAACAAGCGCUUGUGAAGAUUGAGCAUUCUAGAACUUCCAGAGAAUCUAGUGAAAAAUGUUAAGCAUGAAAGCUAAUUUGAGUUUAGCUGAGGUGGGCAUGUCCUUGCUGUUAUCAGCUGCCUAAGUUUACCUAAAGUCAUUUAAGUCAGUGUUAUCUGCUAAAUCUUUUAAGAAUAAAAUGCUUAAAUGC